UACGUAGGGUGCAAGCGUUAAUCGGAAUUACUGGGCGUAAAGCGUGCGCAGGCGGCUUUGCAAGACAGAUGUGAAAUCCCCGGGCUCAACCUGGGAACUGCAUUUGUGACUGCAUGGCUGGAGUGCGGCAGAGGGGGAUGGAAUUCCGCGUGUAGCAGUGAAAUGCGUAGAGAUGUGGAGGAACACCGAUGGCGAAGGCAGCCCCCUGGGCUGAGAUUGACGCUCAGGCACGAAAGCGUGGGGAGCAAACAGG
rnacentral:rRNA from 1 species